UGCGAUCCUCUCAACGCCAAUAUCGGAAC
rnacentral:sRNA from 1 species